rnacentral:tRNA from 1 species
UGUUUAUCUAGUUAAUAUUAAAAUAUCAACUUGUCAAGUUGAGGAUGCAGAUUGCGAUAU